rnacentral:rRNA from 1 species
ACCUCUAGCAUUAAUAGUAUUAGAGGCAUUGCCUGCCCAGUGACACAUGUUCAACGGCCGCGGUAUCCUGACCGUGCAAAGGUAGCAUAAUCACUUGUUCCCUAAUUAGGGACUUGCAUGAACGGCCUGACGAGGGUUCAACUGUCUCUUACUUUCAAUCAGUGAAAUUGACCUUCCCGUGAAGAGGCGGGAAUAUUCUAAUAAGACGAGAAGACCCUAUGGAGCUUAAAUUUUAUAGUCUAGCACUCCUAAUCUACACCUACAGGAUCAAAACCUAUGCCCACAGACUAAAAAUUUUGGUUGGGGUGACCUCGGAGAACAAAACAACCUCCGAAUGAUUAUAAUCGAGACAAACCCGUCCAAAUUUAUAUUCAUUAAUUGACCCAAAACUUUUUUGAUCAACGGAACAAGUUACCCUAGGGAUAACAGCGCAAUCCUACUCAAGAGUCCAUAUCGACAGUUAGGGUUUACGACCUCGAUGUUGGAUCAGGACUUCCAAAUGGUGUAACCGCUAUUAAUGGUUCGUUUGUUCAACGAUUAAAGUCCU